rnacentral:rRNA from 1 species
GAGAGUCUCGUUGGUGACAGCGGAGGGGAUCAUUACCGAGUUUCAACUCCCAAACCCAAUGUGAACCAUACCAAACUGUUGCCUCGGCGGGGUCACGCCCCGGGUGCGUCGCAGCCCCGGAACCAGGCGCCCGCCGGAGGGACCAACCAAACUCUUUUCUGUAGUCCCCUCGCGGACGUUAUUUCUUACAGCUCUGAGCAAAAAUUCAAAAUGAAUCAAAACUUUCAACAACGGAUCUCUUGGUUCUGGCAUCGAUGAAGAACGCAGCGAAAUGCGAUAAGUAAUGUGAAUUGCAGAAUUCAGUGAAUCAUCGAAUCUUUGAACGCACAUUGCGCCCGCCAGUAUUCUGGCGGGCAUGCCUGUCCGAGCGUCAUUUCAACCCUCGAACCCCUCCGGGGGGUCGGCGUUGGGGACCUCGGGAGCCCCUAAGACGGGAUCCCGGCCCCGAAAUACAGUGGCGGUCUCGCCGCAGCCUCUCCUGCGCAGUAGUUUGCACAACUCGCACCGGGAGCGCGGCGCGUCCACGUCCGUAAAACACCCAACUUCUGAAAUGUUGACCUCGGAUCAGGUAGGAAUACCCG